rnacentral:pre_miRNA from 12 species
CGUUAAUCCUUGCAACAGAUCUGUGUCAGUGAGUUAGUACAGGGGUCAGUGACACAGAUUUGUCGUGAGGAUUAAAUGA